GACGGAAUAGCUUAGUUAUGAAAGCGUUAGAUUGAAGGUCUAAACGUCCCAGGUUUGAACCCACGUUUCGUUA